GUUCUGUGAUGUAUAAUAAGUUCUGAUUUAGUUAAAAAAAACAUUUCCUACAUACAAAACAUGAGAACGGCAUCUCCGCUGUGUGAAGCCUAACAAGAGCUGAGUGAUGGGUAAAACAUUUCUCACAGUUAGAACAUGUGAAUUUUUUUUGUUUACUAGCUCAUUUGUAGACAUAUAGGAUUCAGAGAGUUUGAAUACUUGAUCCUUGGAAGAUUGCUUCAUAAUCUUGCUUUGUGCAUUUCUGGUUUUGUCAUGUUCUUUGGGAUAAAUUCUGCUCGCGGAAACACCUGAAAGAAAUGUACUGAGAGUUAAAGAAAAUGUGUCACUUUCAGGGAAAACUAAAGUCACCAAAACAACUUGAAGACAUUUUUGUAUAUAGAUCAUACUUCUGAAGCCUCAAUGCUCAAUUCUCUGCCGUUUAGUAAUUAAAUCACUUGUGUUUCCGUCCAUCCAGCCCUAGACACACUCACCCUCGCUCUGACUGACACAGUAUGCAUGAAAAAAAUGGUUUCAUUUUCAAUCAGACAGUACCUUACUUUAAAGGUAUCUAUAGAUUGCAUUUUCA